rnacentral:lncRNA from 1 species
UGCCAACUAGCCAGAAGCAUGCAAAAGAAAAUCAAACCAAUUGGGGUCAUUCUUUUAACCGAUCCUUUUCAUGCCCAUUACCUCUUCCAAAUAGAACCACGUGCCAAAGAAAAAAACUGAGACAACUUUGUUAGUCUCCCACGAGUUUUUCAUCAAUCCAUAAUCCCAAGGCUAGGGCAGCUUUGCAAGUCUCACUUGAUUUUUUCACCCUAAUUUUCAUGGAACCAUACCCCAUGCCCAUUUUCCCUAACACCAAGUUGGGGCACCCUUUGGGUAUCUCGUGUUCCACCUUGACAUUCACAUAUUGCAUC